GCUAGGGAGUGGGAGAGGUAGACGGUACUCGGUAGGAAGGGGUAAAAUCCUUUGAUCUAUCGAUGACCACCUGUGGCGAAGGCGGUCUACCAGAACACGUUCGACGGUGAGGGAUGAAAGCUGGGGGAGCAAACCGGAUUAGAUACCCGGGUAGUCCCAGCUGUAAACGAUGCAGACUCGAUGAUGCAUUGGCAUAUAGCCAGUGCAGUGUCGCAGGGAAGCCGUUAAGUCUGCCGCCUGGGAAGUACGUACGCAAGUAUGAAACUUAAAGGAAUUGGCGGNNNNNNNNNNUGGCGGGGGAGCACCACAAGGGGUGAAGCCUGCGGUUCAAUUGGAGUCAACGCCAGAAAUCUUACCCGGAGAGACAGCAGAAUGAAGGUCAAGCUGAAGACUUUACCAGACAAGCUGAGAGGUGGUGCAUGGCCGUCGCCAGCUCGUGCCGUGAGAUGUCCUGUUAAGUCAGGUAACGAGCGAGAUCCCUGCCACUAGUUGCUAUCAUUAUUCUCAGGAAUAGUGGGGCGAAUUAGUGGGACCGCUGUAGUAAUAUGGAGGAAGGAAGGGGCCA
rnacentral:rRNA from 1 species